ACGCUGGCGGCAGGCUUAACACAUGCAAGUCGAACGGUAACAGGAAUUAGCUUGCUAAUUUGCUGACGAGUGGCGGACGGGUGAGUAAUGCUUGGGAAUCUGGCUUAUGGAGGGGGAUAACUACGGGAGACUGUAGCUAAUACCGCGUAAAAUCUUCGGAUUAAAGGGUGGGACUUUCGAGCCACCUGCCAUAAGAUGAGCCCAAGUGGGAUUAGGUAGUUGGUUAGGUAAAGGCUGACCAAGCCGACGAUCUCUAGCUGGUCUGAGAGGAUGACCAGCCACACUGGAACUGAGACACGGUCCAGACUCCUACGGGAGGCAGCAGUGGGGAAUAUUGCACAAUGGGGGGAACCCUGAUGCAGCCAUGCCGCGUGAAUGAAGAAGGCCUUCGGGUUGUAAAGUUCUUUCGGUGACGAGGAAGGUUGAUAGGUUAAUAGCCUAUCAAAUUGACGUUAAUCACAGAAGAAGCACCGGCUAACUCCGUGCCAGCAGCCGCGGUAAUACGGGGGGUGCGAGCGUUAAUCGGAAUAACUGGGCGUAAAGGGCACGCAGGCGGUGACUUAAGUGAGAUGUGAAAGCCCCGAGCUUAACUUGGGAAUUGCAUUUCAUACUGGGUCGCUAGAGUACUUUAGGGAGGGGUAGAAUUCCACGUGUAGCGGUGAAAUGCGUAGAGAUGUGGAGGAAUACCGAAGGCGAAGGCAGCCCCUUGGGAAUGUACUGACGCUCAUGUGCGAAAGCGUGGGGAGCAAACAGGAUUAGAUACCCUGGUAGUCCACGCUGUAAACGAUGUCGAUUUGGGGAUUGGGCUUUGAGCUUGGUGCCCGUAGCUAACGUGAUAAAUCGACCGCCUGGGGAGUACGGCCGCAAGGUUAAAACUCAAAUGAAUUGACGGGGGCCCGCACAAGCGGUGGAGCAUGU
rnacentral:rRNA from 1 species